rnacentral:rRNA from 1 species
AGUCGAACGCGAAGGGGAGCAAUCCCUGAGUAGAGUGGCAAACGGGUGAGUAACACGUGGGUGACCUGCCUCAGAGUGGGGGAUAACGUCCCGAAAGGGACGCUAAUACCGCAUAACAUCCUGCCUUUGGAAAGGCGGAGAUCAAAGCCGGGGAUCGCAAGACCUGGCGCUUGGAGAGGGGCCCGCGUCUGAUUAGCUAGUUGGUAGGGUAAUGGCCUACCAAGGCAACGAUCAGUAUCCGGCCUGAGAGGGCGGACGGACACACUGGGACUGAGACACGGCCCAGACUCCUACGGGAGGCAGCAGUGGGGAAUUGUUCGCAAUGGGCGCAAGCCUGACGACGCAACGCCGCGUGGAGGAUGAAGAUCUUCGGGUCGUAAACUCCUGUCGAGCGGGACGAACACCUAUCCGGCUAACAUCCGGAGAGGCUGACGGUACCGCUAAAGGAAGCCCCGGCUAACUCCGUGCCAGCAGCCGCGGUAAUACGGGGGGGGCAAGCGUUGUUCGGAAUUACUGGGCGUAAAGGGCUCGUAGGCGGCCAACUAAGUCGGACGUGAAAUCCCCAGGCUCAACCUGGGAACUGCGUCCGAUACUGGAUGGCUUGAAUCCGGGAGAGGGAUGCAGAAUUCCAGGUGUAGCGGUGAAAUGCGUAGAUAUCUGGAGGAAUACCGGUGGC